rnacentral:lncRNA from 1 species
GUUUUGUCUCAGACUGUCGUGGGGAGUAGUGUUUGAUUCUUCUUACUUUGUUGUCAGAGAACGUUUUUAAAUUAAAAUUCUUAUCAUCAGCAGAGAAGUAGAUUCCAUUGGUUAACACCUUUGUUCUAAACCAAAUAACAAAUCUAUAAAAUUUCUAAUAAGGCUGAAAACAUUUUGACCAAAAAGAAGAAAGCAUAUGGAGGAAAUGGAAACCAGGAAUAAUUCACAUAGCUGUUGCAAAUGGUCUGACGAUGCAGUCGAUACCUGGAACAUCACCUGAACGGAGUAUUCUUACCUGAGUCAUGGGCAAGUCACUCGUUUAAGAAACUAUUUUAAAUGCAAAACACACACUCCCAAAGUCUGGGGAUAUACCCAUCAGCUCAAAGAAAGGAAAAGUAAUGCUGCAUUAAGAAGUUAAAGCUGGCCUCUGUUAGGAACAGCUGGACUGCACACCUCAAUGAGAGUAUUUGAAAGGAACACCUGUGACUGUCAACGAGCUGCUGAUCAUGAAGAGUGGGGUGCCUGGGAGGAGUUGUUAGAGAACCCUUCUCCUGACUGGAAA